rnacentral:rRNA from 1 species
AGCAGCCGCGGUAAUUCCAGCUCCAAUAGCGUAUAUUAAAGUUGUUGCAGUUAAAAAGCUCGUAGUUGAAUUUCGGGGUUAGUAGGUUGGUCGUGUCACCGGUAUGUACUGGCUCUACUGAUCCCUCCUUCUUGUAGAACCGUAAUGCCAUUAACUUGGUGUUGCGGGGAAACAGGACUGUUACUUUGAAAAAAUUAGAGUGUUUAAAGCAGGCUAACGCUUGAAUACAUUAGCAUGGAAUAAUGAAAUAGGACACUCGAUCCUAUUUUGUUGGUUUCUAGGAUUGACGUAAUGAUUAAUAGGGAUAGUUGGGGGCAUUAGUAUUCAAUUGUCAGAGGUGAAAUUCUUGGAUUUAUUGAAGACUAACUACUGCGAAAGCAUUUGCCAAGGAUGUUUUCAUUAAUCAAGAACGAAAGUUAGGGGAUCGAAGACGAUCAGAUACCGUCGUAG